rnacentral:rRNA from 1 species
UACGUAGGGGGCAAGCGUUGUCCGGAUUUAUUGGGCGUAAAGAGCUCGUAGGCGGCUCAGUAAGUCAGGUGUGAAACCUCCAGGCUCAACCUGGAGACGCCACCUGAUACUGCUGUGGCUAGAGUCCGGUAGGGGAGCGUGGAAUUCCUGGUGUAGCGGUGAAAUGCGCAGAUAUCAGGAGGAACACCAGCGGCGAAGGCGGCGCUCUGGGCCGGAACUGACGCUGGAGGAGCGAAAGCAUGGGGAGCGAACAGG